UGAGGCGGAGCAAAUCACAAAAGACAGUCUCAGUUCAGAUUGUAGGCUGAAACUCGCCUAUAUGAAGUCGGAAUUGCUAGUAAUCGCGGAUCAGCAUGCCGCGGUGAAUACGUUCCCGGGCCUUGUACACACCGCCCGUCACACCAUGAGAGUUGGCAAUACCCAACGUACGUGAUCUAACCCGCAAGGGAGGAAGCGUCCUAAGGUAGGGUCAGCGAUUGGGGUGAAGUCGUAACAAGGUAGC
rnacentral:rRNA from 1 species